UACGUAGGGGGCAAGCGUUGUCCGGAUUUAUUGGGCGUAAAGAGCGUGUAGGCGGCCUGAAAGGUCAGCUGUGAAAACUCGAGGCUCAACCUCGAGACGUCGGUUGAAACCAUCUGGCUAGAGUCCGGAAGAGGAGAGUGGAAUUCCCGGUGUAGCGGUGAAAUGCGCAGAUAUCGGGAAGAACACCCGUGGCGAAGGCGACUACCUGGCCUGUUCUUGACGCUGAGGCGCGAAAGCUAGGGGAGCAAACGGG
rnacentral:rRNA from 1 species